CUAUAUCACAUUGAAACUGGUUCUCAUAUGAUCACCAAAGUUAAGCAACACUGAGCCUGAUCAGUACCUAGAGGGGUGACCACUUGAGAAUAUUAGGUG